rnacentral:rRNA from 1 species
GACGAACGCUGGCGGCGUGCCUAAUACAUGCAAGUUGAGCGCUGAAGGUUGGUACUUGUACCAACUGGAUGAGCAGCGAACGGGUGAGUAACGCGUGGGGAAUCUGCCUUUGAGCGGGGGACAACAUUUGGAAACGAAUGCUAAUACCGCAUAAAAACUUUAAACACAAGUUUUAAGUUUGAAAGAUGCAAUUGCAUCACUCAAAGAUGAUCCCGCGUUGUAUUAGCUAGUUGGUGAGGUAAAGGCUCACCAAGGCGAUGAUACAUAGCCGACCUGAGAGGGUGAGCGGCCACAUUGGGACUGAGACACGGCCCAAACUCCUACGGGAGGCAGCAGUAGGGAAUCUUCGGCAAUAGACGAAAGUCUGACCGAGCAACGCCGCGUGAGUGAAGAAGGUUUUCGGAUCGUAAAACUCUGUUGGUAGAGAAGAACGUUGGUGAGAGUGGAAAGCUCAUCAAGUGACGGUAACUACCCAGAAAGGGACGGCUAACUACGUG